rnacentral:rRNA from 1 species
UGGGGAAUAUUGGACAAUGGGGGGAACCCUGAUCCAGCCAUGCCGCGUGUGUGAAGAAGGCCUUAUGGUUGUAAAGCACUUUAAGCGAGGAGGAGGGUACUGGUAUUAAUACUACCAGGUACUGGACGUUACUCGCAGAAUAAGCACCGGCUAACUCUGUGCCAGCAGCCGCGGUAAUACAGAGGGUGCGAGCGUUAAUCGGAUUUACUGGGCGUAAAGCGUGCGUAGGCGGCUAAUUGAGUCGGAUGUGAAAUCCCCGAGCUUAACUUGGGAAUUGCAUUCGAUACUGGUUAGCUAGAGUGUGGGAGAGGAUGGUAGGAUUCCAGGUGUAGCGGAGAAAUGCGUAGAGAUCUGGAGGAAUACCGAUGGCGAAGGCAGCCAUCUGGCCUAACACUGACGCUGAGGUACGAAAGCAUGGGGAGCAAACAGG